AGUGAACGCUGGCGGUAGGCCUAACACAUGCAAGUCGAGCGGCAGCACAGUAAGAGCUUGCUCUUACGGGUGGCGAGUGGAGGACGGGUGAGGAAUACAUCGGAAUCUACUUUUUCGUGGGGGAUAACGUAGGGAAACUUACGCUAAUACCGCAUACGACCUACGGGUGAAAGCAGGGGAUCUUCGGACCUUGCGCGAUUGAAUGAGCCGAUGUCGGAUUAGCUAGCUGGUGGGGUAAAGGCCCACCAAGGCGACGAUCCGUAGCUGGUCUGAGAGGAUGAUCAGCCACACUGGAACUGAGACACGGUCCAGACUCCUACGGGAGGCAGCAGUGGGGAAUAUUGGACAAUGGGCGCAAGCCUGAUCCAGCCAUACCGCGUGGGUGAAGAAGGCCUUCGGGUUGUAAAGCCCUUUUGUUGGGAAAGAAAAGCAGCAGGUUAAUACCCCGCUGUUCUGACGGUACCCAAAGAAUAAGCACCGGCUAACUUCGUG
rnacentral:rRNA from 1 species